GACGAACGCUGGCGGCAUGCUUUACACAUGCAAGUCGAACGGUAACAGGCCUUCGGGUGCUGACGAGUGGCGAACGGGUGAGUAAUGCAUCGGAACGUGCCCAGAGGUGGGGGAUAACGCAGCGAAAGCUGUGCUAAUACCGCAUGUGAUCUGAGGAUGAAAGCGGGGGACCAGGCAGCAAUGUUUGGCCUCGCGCCUUUGGAGCGGCCGAUGUCAGAUUAGGUAGUUGGUGGGGUAAAGGCCUACCAAGCCGACGAUCUGUAGCUGGUCUGAGAGGACGACCAGCCACACUGGGACUGAGACACGGCCCAGACUCCUACGGGAGGCAGCAGUGGGGAAUUUUGGACAAUGGGCGCAAGCCUGAUCCAGCAAUGCCGCGUGCGGGAAGAAGGCCUUCGGGUUGUAAACCGCUUUUGUACGGAACGAAAAGGCUCUGGCUAAUACCUGGGGCUGAUGACGGUACCGUAAGAAUAAGCACCGGCUAACUACGUG
rnacentral:rRNA from 1 species